UACGAAGGGGGCUAGCGUUGCUCGGAAUCACUGGGCGUAAAGGGUGCGUAGGCGGGUCUUUAAGUCAGGGGUGAAAUCCUGGAGCUCAACUCCAGAACUGCCUUUGAUACUGAAGAUCUUGAGUUCGGGAGAGGUGAGUGGAACUGCGAGUGUAGAGGUGAAAUUCGUAGAUAUUCGCAAGAACACCAGUGGCGAAGGCGGGUUGCUGGGCUGAUACUGACGCUGAGGCGCGAAAGCCAGGGGAGCAAACGGG
rnacentral:rRNA from 1 species